rnacentral:rRNA from 1 species
GAGGAGCUUGCUCUUCCUGAUUAGUGGCGCACGGGUGAGUAUACCAUAGAUAAUGUACCCCUUAGUUCGGGAUAGCCACUGGAAACGGUGAUUAAUACCGGAUACUCCUUCUUGUCUUAAGGCAAGUCGGGAAAGUUUUUUCGCUAAGGGAUCAGUCUAUGUCCUAUCAGCUUGUUGGUGAGGUAAUGGCUCACCAAGGCUAUGACGGGUAUCUGGUUUGAGAGGAUGAUCAGACACACUGGAACUGAGACACGGUCCAGACUCCUACGGGAGGCAGCAGUGAGGAAUAUUGCACAAUGGAGGAAACUCUGAUGCAGCAACGCCGCGUGGAGGAUGACGCAUUUCGGUGUGUAAACUCCUUUUAUUAGGGAAGAUUAUGACGGUACCUAAUGAAUAAGCACCGGCUAACUCCGUGCCAGCAGCCGCGGUAAUACGGAGGGUGCAAGCGUUACUCGGAAUCACUGGGCGUAAAGGGUGCGUAGGCUGGCUUCUAAGUCAGAUGUGAAAUCCAAUGGCUCAACCAUUGAACUGCAUUUGAAACUGGGAGCCUAGAGUUCAGAAGGGGCAGAUGGAAUUAGUGGUGUAGGGGUAAAAUCCGUAGAUAUCACUAGGAAUAUCAAAAGCGAAGGCGAUCUGCUGGGAUGAUACUGACGCUGA